UAGCUGUAAACGAUACUCGCUAGGUGUCGGCCACGGUGCGACCGUUGUCGGUGCCGUAGGGAAGCCGUGAAGCGAGCCACCUGGGAAGUACGGCCGCAAGGCUGAAACUUAAAGGAAUUGGCGGGGGAGCACCACAACGGGUGGAGCUUGCGGUUUAAUUGGAUUCAACGCCGGAAAUCUUACCGGGACCGACAGCAACAUGAAGGCCAGGCUGAAGACUUUGCCGGAUUAGCUGAGAGGAGGUGCAUGGCGUCAGUGACU
rnacentral:rRNA from 1 species